rnacentral:rRNA from 1 species
CUCCUACGGGAGGCGCAGUGAGGAAUAUUGGACAAUGGAGGAAACUCUGAUCCAGCCAUGCCGCGUGCAGGAAGAAUGCCCUAUGGGUUGUAAACUGCUUUUAUACAGGAAGAAACGUUUCUACGUGUAGAAUCUGACGGU